UGCCAGAACACUAAUCCUUCAGGGCAAAUCAUCUCAAUGCGACACUUCGACUAACAUGUUGCUGUGAACAGGACCUGGAGAUGAUAGCAAUGACAGAGAUGUCUGGAGUUCUGUUUUCUCAUCCUCUCUACUGACCACAGCACAACCUCAAAAUCAUUGGUGUGUUGGUGAGUUUGCAUCUUGGAGAGAGUUCUCAUUUGGUGGAAGCAUUAUGACUGGCAGGCUCAUUUUCUACCCACAAAAUGGAUUUGGAGUGGAUAAUGCCCUCCAUUCUCCUGGAUGGUAACAGCUGUUACUGAACUUUCUAUGCAAGUAUUUCCAGUUUGUUUCCCUCAUACCUUUGAAACUCCACCCUCACACGCAAAGCUUGUAGUCAUCUGAUGGGGAGACAAAGGAACCUUGCUUACAUGGGAGCACUGGAAGCUUUCCACAACAGCUGGCCAGACCUAGGUAUUUACAUCCAGUAAAGGGGACUACAAUCACUAGCAGAUAGUUCCUACAUAGCAGAAGUCUCUGGAACCAAGUGCUAGCAUGGUGUUAAUGAUGCACGUAUGUACAGAUUACUGCUCAAAAAAUACCAAGUUAUUCUUAAAUGAAAUCUCAGCAUUCAGCUGAAGUCUUUUUACAAUUUGUUCUCUCAAGCUCUGCUUUAUAACUGGGAGUUUAAAAUACUAUGGCAAGAAAAUGGUAUUAAAUCACAUUUAGGGAAAUUCAUAAAAGUCAGUGAGAUUCAUCCUAGGAAUUUGAAUUCAUCCUCAAAAUUCUAAUAACAAAGAUUCUUCAGAAGUCUACC